CCCGCUGAACUUAAGCAUAUCAGUAAGCGGAGGAAAGGAAACUAACAAGGAUUCCCCCAGUAACUGCGAGUGAAGUGGGAAAAGCCCAAACUUGUAAUCUGCGGCAACGUGUCGCCGAGUUGUAGUUUGGAGCCUGGUGGUGCGUGCUAUGGGUGCCGCGGCCAAACUGACUUGGAAUGUCGGCCGGAGAGGGUGAAAGCCCCGUCCGGCCGCGGUUCACCAAGCGCCCGCACCAGGCUACGAGUCGGGCUGUUUGGGAUUGCAGUCCAAAGCGGGUGGUAAACUCCAUCUAAGGCUAAAUACCGACAAGAGACCGAUAGCAAACAAGUACCGUGAGGGAAAACUGAAAAGUACUUUGAAAAAAGAGUUAAAAGGACGUGAAAUUGCCGGCAUGGAAGCGGUUGGGAUGGCAUAGCCAGGCGUGCUGCCCGGGUGCCUGCGGGUCACCUGCAGGUAUCCGGGUUCUUCGCCUGGACAAUCGGGCUCUUCUGGCGCGGUGCCACCCGUGGCGGCCGCAGCCGGAGCAGCCCUCAAUGCGCUGGCCCAACCGACCCGUCUUGAAACACGG
rnacentral:rRNA from 1 species